rnacentral:tRNA from 1 species
GCCUGGGUGGCUCAGUUGGUUGAGCGUCUGACUUUGACUCAGGUCAUGAUCUCAUGUUCGAGGGUUUGAGCCCCGUGUCAGGCU